UUUAAGGUUUUAUUGUAAAACCACAAACAUUAACAAUCAUGUUCAAU
rfam:Oryzias latipes DNA, chromosome12, strain: Hd-rR.